rnacentral:ncRNA from 2 species
UUUAAUAUUUUAGAUAUAGGUGCAGUUUGGAAACUGCUUAAAAGGGAAGUUGGGUGAAAGUCCCUCACGGUCCCGCCACUGUAAAAGAGGAGUUCUUAUAAAUGAUGCCACUGGAGUAGUUUGGGAAGGCUUAUAAGAAUUAUGAUACUUAAGUCAGGAGACCUGCCUAUAUUUUUAUAAUAUA